rnacentral:rRNA from 1 species
AUAGAUACCCCGGGUAGUCCACGCCCUAAACGAUGCGAACUGGAUGUUGGGUACAUUACGGUACUCAGUGUCGAAGCUAACGCGUUAAGUUCGCCGCCUGGGGAGUACGGUCGCAAGACUGAAACUCAAAGGAAUUGACGGGGGCCCGCACGAAGCGGUGGAGUAUGUGGUUUAAUUCGAUGCAACGCGAAGAACCUUACCUGGCCUUGACAUCUGUCGAAUCCUGCAGAGAUGCGGGAGUGCCGCAAGGAACGACAAGACAGGUGCUGCAUGGCUGUCGUCAGCUCGUGUCGUGAGAUGUUGGGUUAAGUCCCGCAACGAGCGCAACCCUUGUCCCUAGUUGCCAACACGUAAUGGUGGGAACUCUAGGGAGACUGCCGGUGACAAACCGGAGGAAGGUGGGGAUGACGUCAAGUCCUCAUGGCCCUUACGGCCAGGGCUACACACGUACUACAAUGGUCGGUACAGAGGGUUGCGAAGCCGCGAGGUGGAGCCAAUCCCAGAAAGCCGAUCCCAGUCCGGAUUGGAGU